GAGGAUUUAGCUCAGUGGUAGAGCGCUUGCCUAGCAAGCACAAGGCCCUGGGUUCAGUCCUCA
rnacentral:tRNA from 1 species